UAUCAGUUUUAGCUUAAGUAGUCAGA
rnacentral:piRNA from 1 species